GGGUUAAGUCCGCAACGAGCGCAACCCUCGACCUUAGUUGCCAGCAUUCAGUUGGGCACUCUAAGGUGACUGCCGGCUAAAAAGUCGGAGGAAGGUGGGAUGACGUCAAAAUCAUCAUGCCCCUUAUGACCUGGGCUACACACGUGCUACAAUGGGCGGUACAAAGGGUCGCGAACCCGCGAGGGGGAGCCAAUCCCAAAAAGCCGCUCUCAGUUCGGAUUGCAGGCUGCAACUCGCCUGCAUGAAGCCGGAAUCGCUAGUAAUCGCGGAUCAGCAUGCCGCGGUGAAUACGUUCCCGGGCCUU
rnacentral:rRNA from 1 species